GACGAACGCUGGCGGCGUGCCUAAUACAUGCAAGUAGAACGCAGUUGCCACCGGGUUCGUAACGCGUAGGUAACUGCCUGGUGGUGGGGGAUCACUAUUGGUAACGAUAGCUAAUGCCUCAUACUACCAUAUGUACCUGCGUUGUAUUAGCUUGUGGGUGGGGUAACGGCUCACCAAGGCAACGAUACAUAGCCGACCUGGGAGGGUGAUCGGCCACACUGGGACUGAGAAACGGCCCAGACUCCUACGGGAGGCAGCAGUAGGGAAUCUUCGGCAAUGGACGGAAGUCUGACCGAACAACGCCGCGUGAGUGAAGAAGGUUUUCGGAUCGUAAAGCUCUGUUGUAAGAGAAGCGGUAUCUUACCAGAAAGGGACGGCUAACUACGUGCCAGCAGCCGCGGUAAUUC
rnacentral:rRNA from 1 species